rnacentral:rRNA from 1 species
UCCUACGGGAGGCAGCAGUGGGGAAUAUUGGACAAUGGGCGCAAGCCUGAUCCAGCCAUGCCGCGUGAGUGAUGAAGGCCUUAGGGUUGUAAAGCACUUUAAUUCGGGAAGGACAAGCUCAAACUAAUACUUUGAGCCCUGACGGUACCGAAAGAAUAAGCACCGGCUAACUCUGUGCCAGCAGCCGCGGUAAUA